CGCCCUUAGAGUUUGAUCAUGGCUCAGAUUGAACGCUGGCGGCAGGCUUAACACAUGCAAGUCGAACGGUAUAGGUGCUUGCACCUGACGAGUGGCGGACGGGUGAGUAAUGUAUGGGGAUCUGCCGAGUGGAUUGGGACAACCACUGGAAACGGUGGCUAAUACCGAAUAAUGUUGAGAGACCAAAGUGUUUCGACAUGCCAUUUGAUGAACCCAUAUGGGAUUAGCUAGUAGGCGGGGUAAUGGCCCACCUAGGCGACGAUCUCUAGCUGGUCUGAGAGGAUGACCAGCCACACUGGGACUGAGACACGGCCCAGACUCCUACGGGAGGCAGCAGUGGGGAAUAUUGCACAAUGGGGGAAACCCUGAUGCAGCCAUGCCGCGUGUAUGAAGAAGGCCUUCGGGUUGUAAAGUACUUUCGGUAGUGAGGAAGGUUACUAUUAACAUAGUAAAUUGACGUUAAUUAC
rnacentral:rRNA from 1 species